GUCACAAAAUAUACAGGAAAUUAUAAUAACCUAAUAGCAAAUUUAUAAAGACAAUAAUGGGGAAGACAAUAACAAACACAAACAAAACAUCUCUACUGCCUGCAGAAACAGCAAUGUGGAAAUUAUCUGAAUAUGCAAAUUAAACAGCCUUGCUAUUCAGGUAGUGCAUAUUGCUGUUGCUACCAACAGAGGGCGCUACACGGGCUACAUAUUUUUUUUAUUCCUCAAAUCAACGGAGGCCCAGCAUAAUUGUUGCCUUGUAGUUUCACACGGCCAUGAAUGAUGAGGGACUACGUCCAGCCUGUAGCAAAGGACUUCUGGAAAAAAGUUAGAGGUGCUUGGAAGAAGACAUGAUAUAGCAUUCUUGAAUUACUCUUCAUAAUGAUCAUUUAUUCAGUGACAAUUUAAUACAAAAUAUACACUGGCAGAACACAAAACGGACAGGGCAGAAUAAAAAAAAAAUAAAAAACAUCUUUACACUUUUUUUAUGUGCACUUAAAGGGUCACUGUAGGCACCCAGACCUCUUCAGCUAAUUGAAGUCCCAUGUCCCUUAACCAACAGCGGUAAUUUUAUGGCAAGACAGGAGGCUUCAUAUUUGCUUAUCUUUCUUUACUGAAUCUCCCAGCAGCAAAGAAAUAGUUAAGAAAGUUGUAAAAAAUUCAACCAAUCAUAACACAACAUAGAGCAAUAUAGUGCCACCAGACUCCUCCCACUUCCUCUUUCUUUGCUGCUUGCCUCCCAGGUGAGUCUAUUCCAAUUACGUUGCCUAGCUUCAGUACUUAAAUUUAAAAUUCUCUUAGAUUAUUUGAUGAUUUUUAUCUGUUUUCCUAUCCUGAGAUAGCUCAAUAAUAGUUUUAGCUUGCCUCAGGUUAAUUUCCUUUUAACACCUUUUGUUUAAUUUAAUAUGUUCUUUUACAAGUGUCUUUUAU